rnacentral:rRNA from 1 species
UACGUAGGUGGCAAGCGUUGUCCGGAAUUAUUGGGCGUAAAGCGCGCGCAGGUGGUUUCUUAAGUCUGAUGUGAAAGCCCACGGCUCAACCGUGGAGGGUCAUUGGAAACUGGGGAACUUGAGUGCAGGAGAGAAGAGUGGAAUUCCACGUGUGGCGGUGAAAUGCGUAGAGAUGUGGAGGAACACCAGUGGCGAAGGCGACUCUUUGGCCUGUAACUGACACUGAGGCGCGAAAGCGUGGGGAGCAAACAGG